rnacentral:rRNA from 1 species
GUGUCAGCCGCCGCGGUAAUACAGAGGGUGCAAGCGUUAAUCGGAAUUACUGGGCGUAAAGCGCGCGUAGGUGGUUUGUUAAGUUGGAUGUGAAAUCCCCGGGCUCAACCUGGGAACUGCAUCCAAAACUGGCAAGCUAGAGUAUGGUAGAGGGUGGUGGAAUUUCCUGUGUAGCGGUGAAAUGCGUAGAUAUAGGAAGGAACACCAGUGGCGAAGGCGACCACCUGGACUGAUACUGACACUGAGG